CCUACGGGAGGCAGCAGUGAGGAAUAUUGGUCAAUGGGAGAGAGCCUGAACCAGCCAAGCCGCGGGAGGGAAGACGGCCCUAUGGGUUGUAAACCUCUUUUGUCGGAGAACAAAACACGGGACGUGGCCCGGACUGCGUGUAUCCGAAGAAAAAGCAUCGGCUAACUCCGUGCCAGCAGCCGCGGUAAUACGGAGGAUGCGAGCGUUAUCCGGAUUUAUUGGGUUUAAAGGGUGCGUAGGCGGUCCGUUAAGUCAGCGGUAAAAUUGCGGGGCUCAACCCCGUCGAGCCGUUGAAACUGGGAGCCUUGAGUUGGCGAGAAGUACGCGGAAUGCGCGGUGUAGCGGUGACAUGCAUAGUUUUCGCGCAUAACUCCGAUUGCGAAGGCAGCGUACCGGCGCCAGACUGACGCUGAGGCACGAAAGCGUGGGGAUCGAACAGGAUUAGAUACCCGAGUAGUC
rnacentral:rRNA from 1 species